CACAAUCCAAUGAGGGAUGCUGCUCUCCGGACUUAAAACUUCAAUUUAUUAUAAUAGAUUAAAAAUGACGAGGGUCGUCAUUUUUAAUCCAUUAUAAUAAAUUGAAGUUUUAAGUCCGGAGAGCAGCCUCCCUCAUUGGAUUGUUUAUCUAUU